rnacentral:lncRNA from 13 species
AUGAGAAAAAUGGCUGUGAGUUUUGAAAUGUCUUUGAGAAUUUCUUGGAUUUGUUGCCUGCUAAUUGGAGGGAUAACCUGUUAUCCUCCACCUAAAGGUGAAGCUACCGGCUCCCGUGCCUCGGCAGGUGAAGCAGCCACCCAUAAUGCCUCUGCAAGUGUCACGACUGGCCCAAAUACCUUAGGUGGAGCAACCGGAUCCCGUGCCUCAGAAGCAGCCACCCACAAUGCCUCUGCAAACAUCACGACUGGCCCAAAUACCUUAGGUGAAGCAGCUGGCCACAGUGCCUCGGCAGCGGAAGCAACUGGCCACAGUGCCGUGCAAGCGGCCACCCAAAAUACCUCGGCAGGUGUGGCUACUGGCCAAAAUACCUUUGAAGCAACAGGCCACAACGCUUCAUCAAGCGUCACGACUGGCCCAAAUACCUUAGGUGGAGCAACCGGAUCCCGUGCCUCAGAAGCAGCCACCCACAAUGCUUCAUCAAGC